GAAAGUGCAGUGGAGCAAUCACGAGGAGCGGGAGGCGACUUGGGAUCCUGAGAAGUGAUGAGGGAGUCCUAUCUCGACCUGUUCGUUGCCCCGUCUUGAGGUUUAUCCUCUCAAUUAACUGAGAGUGUGCAUGUUUUUAUUUCUCUCCUAUACUUGACCGUACGCAAGGAGAAGGAGAACCCGGUUGGAGCUCGUGUGUCGCCGACGUCGCGCCGCGGUACCGUUUGAGCGUGUGUUCGUCGUCGUAGCAUCGCGAGGAAGCCAGGCGCAGGUGCGUUUUUGCCGUUCUCGACGUCGCACCGGAUUGGAUUUAGCUUUUGAGAGCCACCGGUUUCAGUUGCUGCGCCUUCC